rnacentral:rRNA from 1 species
GCUUUAUUGAAGUUUUAUUAGUAAUUUUAUAUGAUAUUUAAUAUAAGUAAAAUUUUAAUUUUAUUGGGGAGAUAAGAAAAUAAAAAAUCUUUUCUUUUUAAAACUAUGAUAAAAGGUUAUAUGAUCCUUUUAUAAAGAUUACAAGAUUAAGU